UGUAUAACUAUACAACUCUAUGAUGGCACUGUGAACAACUGCACACUGUGGAUGACUGUAAGGGCCUGUGUCUGGGUUUACAACUUCAUUGGUGCCAAGUGGCACCAGCAUAACUGCACGGCCUACACAAGGCAACUAAUUCUGCACACCUGAUCCACUUCUGCAACAUGAAGGCCGAUCGACAUCUCUUCACAAGCGCUGGCUCUUCAACUGCUCAUCUAGAUCGCAAACCAGUGUUUGGAAGUAUCUCUCCGAAUGCUACUCAAGGCUUUACGGCCCCUGGGCUGCAGACCCAGGCAACCAAAACGGAAAGCUCUCCCUGCACUGCAGAAUUACAUCCUGGGAUUAAUCAUGAAAGGGGAAAGAGAAGCAUUUCCAGUUGGUGUUUAUAAAUGAAAAGUGGCUAAGGACAGGUAGCACAGAUACAAAACUACAAGACUAUGAUCAAAGGUACUUUCAAACCUCAUUAACUUGUCACCUUAUAUUUAAAAUGUGUAAUUUGGACACAAACUGUGCUUUACUUUUCCUUCAUAAUAUUCAAAGAGAGGCUAUAAAUGGUGUAUGAAGACUGCAAAGGGACUCUUAGGCAAAGUUAGGUAAUUGUUUUAUACCACUAUCACCAUUUUAAUAGUACCACUUUACAAUCAGUCCCCAAAACCUACAUUUAGUAACACUUAGUGGGAUUAGAGCAUGUGCUUGAAAGAAAAUCUGCGUGUCUUUUGAAGUUAUACUAUUCAGAUUUUUCAUUAAUUCAGACUGGCUAAAACUUUCACCCAACAAUCCCUAAGCAGGAGAAGUUUUACAGUGAUUUACUAAACAGGCAAGUCCCUCUCUUAGGCUCCCAGGGAAAACUUCCAAGGGCAUUAAACAAGGCUUGAAGGCAGCAUGGCAGGGGGUGGGGUGGCAAGUACAGGUGCCCGAUAGGGCCACUCUCAAGUUUCCUUUCCCCAUACUGGAAGCCAAUUUAACUCCAAGACCAGCAGAAAAGCAUCUUGAUGUACUGACUAUCCCUCUCUACCUCCCAUCCCCUCUCGCUACAGCCUUCUCUUCCUCCCUCCUUGGCCAAACUUGGUGGAAAAGUUGCCAGCACUUUGCUGCCCCAUCUCUUUCCUUUCCCACUUGCUCCUUUCUCAAAAAGCUACAUGAUGACUUCCGCACCAGCACUCUGCUGACACUGCUCCUGCCAUAGCCACUAAGGCCUCCUUGUUGCUAAAUCCAAUGGAUGUCCUUUAGCAGUUCUUGGCCCUUUGACCAUUCCCCCUUCCUCAAAAUUCCCAUGGAUUUUCUCCCACCUCUCUAGCCACCUAGUUCCCUUGUAGACUCUUCUUCCUCUGUCAUCCCUUAAAUACGAAGUUCCUUCGGCACCUGUCCGUUCUUCUCACUCAACACCCUUUGUGUGGGUGACCAUGCCAUUUGCAUGGCUUCAGGUACCUUCCACAGACUGACAACUCCCAGGGCUGUGCCUGGCCUGGGCUUCUCCUGAGUGUCAGAUCAGUGUAUCCAGCCCUCCGUGGGCCCCUCCACUUGGGCUGGACAUAGAUCCUUUAAACACUGAGCUUUCACCUUUGCCCGUUCACUCCCCAGCCACCACAGGCUUCUUUCCAGCUCUGCAGCCAGGCCUUGGGGACCCAAGGCUGCCUCAUGGGCUCCUGCCACCCUGGCUAUGGCUUUCCUGGCUGUCACUGUGGUAUCUACCCUGGAGGAAUUCAACUCUCUUCAAACAGUCCUUCUGCUGGCUAUUUUGGUCAGCUCAGCUGGGCCCAACGCCAACAAAACCGUUUCUAAGUCCAGUCUUUCCCAGUUGCCUAGUGUGGAAAAAUUCCAAGCUGGUGAGAGAAAACCAAGUCAUGGCUGAUUUUAAAGAAGGAAGUUAGACCUCUCAAAGGGAGCUGACCAAGAGACUAACAGAAUCGGUUUAAAUGGGGAAGCAAAAACACUGGCUGUAAAAGGCUUCCAACUGCCUGAACAUUGCUAAGACAAGCAGAUCUCGGGCAAUCACAAUGACCACAUAAAAGAGCCCAACGGUAGUAAUAUGACUUUCAUUAAACAUGAACAACUCAGGGCAAGGCUCGCUAAUGCAACAGGCCAAGAGAAGAAGGUCAGUAAGGAAUGGAGCCCUUGUCUCCACCCAGACACUUAGCUGAGCUGUCCUGUCUCCCCACAUCCACCAUGACCCCCAGUCUACAUGUGUCCUCAAUUUCAUCAAGAAGUUAAAAUGCCCUCCAUCAGCCAAGACCUAUUUCUAUCCUCCCUUUCAAGGAAAAUUUGCAAGAGUUGUCUACACUUGCUGUCCCUAAUCUCCCCUUAGUCUCUCUUGAACCUUUCCAACCAGGUUGCUGCUCCCCCUUCACAUCCCCCUCCAGCGCCACCCAAACUGCUCAGCACCAGCAACCUCCUCAUCACUAAAUCUAACGGUUAAUUCUUCAGCCUCAUCUGCCAUGUUGCUCUGACAGUUGAUCCUUCCUCUGCCUUGAAACACUUCCUUCACUUGCUUUCCAGUGCGUCCGCACUUGCUGGCUUGGCCUCCUACCUCCCUCGCUGUUCCUUCUAAGCCUGCUUUGCAGGUUUCUCCCCUCCUAAAAUUCUUAAUUGAUGGGCUGCCCUGGGGCUCAGCCCCAGGACCUAUUUAUUCUCUCUUGUCUACAUCUACUUCCUAGGUGAUUUCAUCCAGUCUUCUGAAUUUAAAAACCAGUAAUAUAUAAAUUCUGUAUAAUGACAAGUCCGAAGUUUAUUUUUCCAGACUUGUAUAUCCUACUACCCCCUGACAUCACUUGGAUGUGUUAAUAGGCAUCUCAAAUCUAUCUGGCCCUAAACAGGGCUCCUGGAAUCUCCCUAAUUCUUUACCUCCUUCCAUCUUCUCUACCGCAGUGAAUGACCACUCCAUCUUCCCAGCUGCUCAGCCCUAAACACUUGGGAGUCAUCUUCAGCUCCUCUUUCUUCCAUACCUCACAUUUGACAGGCAGCAAAAUCUUCCGGCUCCACCAUCACCAUAUACUCAGAAUCUGACAGCUUCUGACCACUUCCUGUGUCAUCAGACCCAGGUCUAAGCCAUCAUCACCUCUUGCCUGGAUGACUGCAAAAGCCUCCUAGCUGGGCUUCUGACUUUGUUCCCUGUCAGUCUAGUCUCAACAUGCAUCCAGACCCAUCAAACUUAAAUCAAAUCAUGUUACUCCUCUGCUCCGAGCCCCCAACAGCUUCCCAUUACCCACUCAAUGUAUUGUCCCCACCAUGGACGCAUAAGGCCCCUACGUGAUCUGGCUCCCAUGACCCCUCUGACCUUCCCUCCUGUCACUCCCCCUCACUCAGUCUACUUCAGCCACGCUGGCCUCCCUACUGUUCCCAAACUUGCCAAGCAGCACAUGCUCUUCUCUCUGCUGGAGUUCUCGCCCUCUUCCCAUCCUCCCACCCUAGAGAGUUGCAUGUUUCAAUCCCUCACUAUUUCAGAGUUUUUCUCAAGAGUAAAGACCUUCCCCAAUCACCCUAUACAAACUGCAGCCCUCCCAUACUUCCUCUAUUCUCUUUCUCUUGUUUUUUUCUCCUUAGUACUUCUCAAUGUCUAAUAAAUAAUUUAUUUUCUUUGUUUA